rnacentral:rRNA from 1 species
CGGGGUGCACCAGGCGCGAAAACUUUACACUGCGGGAAACCGCGAUAAGGGGACCCCGAGUGCCAGCACCUAGUGCUGGCUGUCCAGUUGUCCAAAUAACAACUGUUAGCAAGGGCCGGGCAAGACCGGUGCCAGCCGCCGCCGGUAACACCGGCGGCCCGAGUGGUAGCCGCUAUUAUUGGGUUUAAAGGGUCCGUAGCCGGCUUAUUAAGUCUUUUGGGAAAUCUGGCGGCUCAAUCGUCAGGCGUCCAAAAGAUACUGGUAGGCUUGGGACCGGGAGAGGUGGGAGGUACUCCAGGGGUAGGGGUGAAAUCUCGUAAUCCUUGGGGGACCACCGAUGGCGAAGGCAUCCCACCAGAACGGGUCCGACGGUGAGGGACGAAAGCUGGGGGCACGAACCGGAUUAGAUACCCGGGUAGUCCCAGCUGUAAACGAUGCUCGCUAGGUGUCAGGUGCGGUGCGACCGCAUCUGGUGCCGCAGUGAAAACUUGAAGCGAGUCACCUGGGAAGUACGGUCGCAAGGCUGAAACUUAAAGGAAUUGGCGGGGGAGCACAA